GACGUAGGGUCCAAGCGUUGUCCGGAUUUACUGGGCGUAAAGAGCGCGUAGGCGGUCUGUUAAGUGUGAAGUGAAAUCUCUAGGGCUCAACCCAGAAACUGCUUUACAUACUGGCAGACUUGAGUGAUGAAGAGGUUUGUGGAAUUCCUGGUGUAACGGUGAAAUGUGUUGAUAUCAGGAGGAACACCCAUGGCGAAGGCAGCAAACUGGUCUCGAACUG
rnacentral:rRNA from 1 species